CUACACUCUGAUACAUAUCGAUCGAUUCAAAAACCAGCAACUGUAUAGAACCGUCUGCAGAUUUUCUAGUAACCAUUUACAAGAAAUGCAAAAAAAUAAGCCACCAACCAAUCAGGAAUGUCUACAACUAUACUUUCAGGGGUUCCUGCAGCAAAAGGAGUAUAUAUAGUCGGAUUAUUUUGCACCAAACGGCCGCCUUCUUAGAGGCCACUCUUGAAAUUCAGUCUCUGUUAGCCCGAUGAACUAAAUUUUGUCUUUUUGUUGACAAUUUUAGCCCACUGAACUAACUGGGGCACUAUUUAAAUAGUGGCCUCAACAAUGGCCAUUUGCGCAAAUGCCCCUAUCUAGUUUACAAUGGUUCUCUCCAAAUGCGGCCACCUAUCUUUAGCUUCAGCUCCUUCCU
rnacentral:lncRNA from 1 species